UAACCUGCCCAAGAGAUCGGGAUAACACCUGGAAACAGAUGCUAAUACCGGAUAACAACAGAUGAUGCCUAUCAACUGUUUAAAAGAUGGUUCUGCUAUCACUCUUGGAUGGACCUGCGGUGCAUUAGCUAGUUGGUAGGGUAACGGCCUACCAAGGCGAUGAUGCAUAGCCGAGUUGAGAGACUGAUCGGCCACAUUGGGACUGAGCACGGCCCAAACUCCUACGGGAGGCAGCAGCG
rnacentral:rRNA from 1 species